rnacentral:rRNA from 1 species
AGUGAACGCUGGCGGUAGGCCUAACACAUGCAAGUCGAACGGCAGCACAGUAAGAGCUUGCUCUUACGGGUGGCGAGUGGCGGACGGGUGAGGAAUACAUCGGAAUCUACUUUUUCGUGGGGGAUAACGUAGGGAAACUUACGCUAAUACCGCAUACGACCUACGGGUGAAAGCAGGGGAUCUUCGGACCUUGCGCGAUUGAAUGAGCCGAUGUCGGAUUAGCUAGUUGGCGGGGUAAAGGCCCACCAAGGCGACGAUCCGUAGCUGGUCUGAGAGGAUGACCACCCACACUGGAACUGAGAAACGGCCCAAACCCCUAGGGGAGGCCGGAGGGGGGAAUUUGGGAAAAGGGGCGAAAGCCUGACCCAGCCAUCCCGGGUGGGGGAAGAAGGCCUUGGGGUUGUAAAGCCCUUUUGUUGGGAAAAAAAAGCAGCAGGUUAAUCCCCCGCUUUUCUGACGGUACCCAAAAAAUAAGCACCGGUAAACUUCGG